rnacentral:rRNA from 1 species
UACGUAGGGUGCAAGCGUUGUCCGGAAUUAUUGGGCGUAAAGAGCUCGUAGGCGGCUUGUCACGUCGGAUGUGAAAAUCCAGGGCUCAACCCUGGACCUGCAUUCGAUACGGGCAGGCUAGAAUUCGGUAGGGGAGACUGGAAUUCCUGGUGUAGCGGUGAAAUGCGCAGAUAUCGGGAGGAACACCUAUGGCGAAGGCAGCUCGCUGGGACGUUACUGACGCUGAGACGCGAAAGCGUGGGGAGCAAACAGG